GGGCCUAUCGGUUAAUUGGUAAACCACAGGUUUCCAAAACCUGGACUGCAGGUUCAAGUCCUGCUGGGCCCG
rnacentral:tRNA from 1 species